GAUGAACGUUGGCGGCGUGCCUAAUACAUGCAAGUCGAACGAAGAGCCCGGUGUAGCAAUACACUGAAACUCUUAGUGGCGAACGGGUGAGUAACGCGUUGGUGACCUGCCCCAAAGAGAGGGAUAACAGUUCGAAAGGAUUGCUAAUACCUCAUGUGAUCGUCUGGAUUAGAUGCCUAAUGAUCAAAGGAGCUUGCUCCGCUUUGGGAGGGGCCUGCGUACCAUCAGCUAGUUGGUAGGGUAAUGGCCUACCAAGGCUAUGACGGUUAGGAGACCUGAGAGGGUGGCCCCCCACAAUGGAACUGAAAUACGGUCCAUACACCUACGGGUGGCAGCAGUAGGGAAUAUUGGUAAUGUGCGAAAGCGCGAACCAGCAACGCCGCGUGUGCGAAGAAGGCCUUCGGGUUGUAAAGCACUUUUCGGGAGGAAGAGGAAGGACUGUACUCCCGGAAUAAGCCUCGGCUAACUACGUG
rnacentral:rRNA from 1 species